GACGAACGCUGGCGGCGUGCUUAACACAUGCAAGUCGAACGGAAAGGCCCUGCUUUUGUGGGGUGCUCGAGUGGCGAACGGGUGAGUAACACGUGAGUAACCUGCCCUUGACUUUGGGAUAACUUCAGGAAACUGGGGCUAAUACCGGAUAGGAGCUCCUGCUGCAUGGUGGGGGUUGGAAAGUUUCGGCGGUUGGGGAUGGACUCGCGGCUUAUCAGCUUGUUGGUGGGGUAGUGGCUUACCAAGGCUUUGACGGGUAGCCGGCCUGAGAGGGUGACCGGCCACAUUGGGACUGAGAUACGGCCCAGACUCCUACGGGAGGCAGCAGUUGGGAAUAUUGCACAAUGGGCGGAAGCCUGAUGCAGCAACGCCGCGUGCGGGAUGACGGCCUUCGGGUUGUAAACCGCUUUCGCCUGUGACGAAGCGUGAGUGACGGUAAUGGGUAAAGAAGCACCGGCUAACUACGUGCCAGCAGCCGCGGUGAUACGUAGGGUGCGAGCGUUGUCCGGAUUUAUUGGGCGUAAAGGGCUCGUAGGUGGUUGAUCGCGUCGGAAGUGUAAUCUUGGGGCUUAACCCUGAGCGUGCUUUCGAUACGGGUUGACUUGAGGAAGGUAGGGGAGAAUGGAAUUCCUGGUGGAGCGGUGGAAUGCGCAGAUAUCAGGAGGAACACCAGUGGCGAAGGCGGUUCUCUGGGCCCUUCCUGACGCUGAGGAGCGAAAGCGUGGGGAGCGAACAGGCUUAGAUACCCUGGUAGUCCACGCUGUAAACGGUGGGUACUAGGUGUGGGGUCCAUUCCACGGGUUCCGUGCCGUAGCUAACGCUUUAAGUACCCCGCCUGGGGAGUACGGCCGCAAGGCUAAAACUCAAAGGAAUUGACGGGGCCCCGCACAAGCGGCGGAGCAUGCGGAUUAAUUCGAUGCAACGCGUAGAACCUUACCUGGGUUUGACAUGGAUCGGGAGCGCUCAGAGAUGGGUGUGCCUCUUUUGGGGUCGGUUCACAGGUGGUGCAUGGCUGUCGUCAGCUCGUGUCGUGAGAUGUUGGGUUAAGUCCCGCAACGAGCGCAACCCUUGUUCACUGUUGCCAGCACGUUAUGGUGGGGACUCAGUGGAGACCGCCGGGGUCAACUCGGAGGAAGGUGGGGAUGACGUCAAGUCAUCAUGCCCCUUAUGUCCAGGGCUUCACGCAUGCUACAAUGGCUGGUACAGAGAGUGGCGAGCCUGUGAGGGUGAGCGAAUCUCGGAAAGCCGGUCUCAGUUCGGAUUGGGGUCUGCAACUCGACCUCAUGAAGUCGGAGUCGCUAGUAAUCGCAGAUCAGCAACGCUGCGGUGAAUACGUUCCCGGG
rnacentral:rRNA from 1 species